GAUGAACGCUGGCGGCGUGCCUAAUACAUGCAAGUCGAGCGAACAGACGAGGAGCUUGCUCCUCUGACGUUAGCGGCGGACGGGUGAGUAACACGUGGAUAACCUACCUAUAAGACUGGGAUAACUUCGGGAAACCGGAGCUAAUACCGGAUAAUAUAUUGAACCGCAGGGUUCAAUAGUGAAAGACGGUUUUGCUGUCACUUAUAGAUGGAUCCGCGCCGCAUUAGCUAGUUGGUAAGGUAACGGCUUACCAAGGCAACGAUGCGUAGCCGACCUGAGAGGGUGAUCGGCCACACUGGAACUGGGACACGGUCCAGACUCCUACGGGAGGCAGCAGUAGGGAAUCUUCCGCAAUGGGCGAAAGCCUGACGGAGCAACGCCGCGUGAGUGAUGAAGGUCUUCGGAUCGUAAAACUCUGUUAUUAGGGAAGAACAAAUGUGUAAGUAACUAUGCACGUCUUGACGGUACCUAAUCAGAAAGCCACGGCUAACUACGUG
rnacentral:rRNA from 1 species